rnacentral:rRNA from 1 species
ACGCUCGACACCUACGGGAGGCAGCAGUGGGGAAUAUUGCACAAUGGGGGAAACCCUGAUGCAGCAACGCCGCGUGAAGGAAGACGGUUUUCGGAUUGUAAACUUCUGUUCUUAGUGAAGAUAGUGACGGUAGCUAAGGAGCAAGCCACGGCUAACUACGUGCCUGCAGCCGCGGUAAUCUGAGCGGGCUGGCAAGGC